rnacentral:ncRNA from 1 species
UAUAUUUGCGCCGCUGAUAUCAGCAUACCAUAAUAAUCAUUUAAAUAAUAUUGGAAUG